UACGAAGGGGGCUAGCGUUGCUCGGAUUUACUGGGCGUAAAGGGCGCGUAGGCGGACAGUUAAGUCGGGGGUGAAAGCCCGGGGCUCAACCUCGGAAUUGCCUUCGAUACUGGCUGUCUUGAGUGUGAGAGAGGUGUGUGGAACUCCGAGUGUAGAGGUGAAAUUCGUAGAUAUUCGGAAGAACACCAGUGGCGAAGGCGACACACUGGCUCACUACUGACGCUGAGGCGCGAAAGCGUGGGGAGCAAACAGGAUUAGAUACCCUGGUAGUCCACGCUGUAAACGAUGAGUGCUAGUUGUCGGGCGGCAUGCCGUUCGGUGACGCAGCUAACGCAUUAAGCACUCCGCCUGGGGAGUACGGUCGCAAGAUUAAAACUCAAAG
rnacentral:rRNA from 1 species